AUUAUUUUGGCAGAUUAGUGCGAUUGAUUUAGAAUCUUUAUAUGUAGAAAUACAAAUAAUA
rnacentral:tRNA from 1 species